rnacentral:lncRNA from 1 species
UCACGUGUCUAUUCGCCAUCUCAUUUCCUCUCGAUUUCCUUCAUAGUUAAUGAUAAAUAUUUUUCGAAAGCUUUUAAGAAUGUGAUAGGAAAAAAACACUUAAGAGUUAAACAUAUAAAAAAUAACCUAAAAUAAAUAUCAGUGUAUAUCUAUCGUGUUAAUAAGUCAAGUUUAGAUGAUACCUUUUGUUAACAAUCACAGUUCAUCAAUUUUGAAUGUUCUAGAUAUUAUUAUUAUAUGUGUAUUUAUCUCAUGACUGACGCAUUCACACUGCAAAAGUAGUCAGACGUUUAUGAAACUGGUUCAUAUACAUGUAAAGUAGCAGUUAUUUGACACUAUUUUAUCAAUGUAAAUCUCUCAUAGGCUAUGACACUAUUUCAUCAAUGUUAAUAUUUUGUGUUCUAAAAAUGUUCCAAGUUUUUCAGAAUUUUUUUUUUAAUUUUUAAUUUUUUUUGUUAAAUGCGUACCAUGUUAUCAUGUUUACCUAAAUUAGGUUUACUUUUGUUAUUGUUUUUCUUAAGGUUGAUUGUUUAUGUAUCUUGCUAGGGCAUAUUAUUAUAAUAUUUAAAAAUGUUUUAAGACUUUUAAUACUUUUGUUGGUUAUAACAUGUAUAACUCAGGUAAGACACACUCAUAUUUUUUGUUUAUUUAUUACUUGUGAUUCACUGAAUACAUGGUCACCUGACGUAACUGCACGAGAAAAAUGCACGUGCUAUUGUUUAUGAAGACAAUUUUUUAACCAUUGUUUUAUAUCAAUAUUUGUUAAUAUUGUAACUUCUUUCAGUAUUUUUGUCAUUGUUCAUAUUUUAAUAUCAAAUUUCAAAUAUUUGUUAUUUUUUUAUUGCUGUUAUUUUUAUUAAAAAGAUUUGCUAUUGUGUUCACCAACUUGAAUUACUCCUUUGUUAAUGAAACAAUAAAAAUAUAUUAUUCAGAAGAUUCAAUUUUCAAUUAGUUCAAUCAUAAGGAUUGACCAAGAUAAUUUUGAAUAUCCCUGUAGUUCUUCUGUCGGUUGGAACAUGUGUAACUUUUGCGAAAGUAGAUUGUCUAAAAGGCUGAUAUGUUAAAUUCACAGGCACGUCCGGUCGUAAUUGGUACGUUGAAUUCGAUACUUCAUAACGGAAGAAUGCCAUAUACUCUGUAUGUCAAAGGAACCUUUGGGAUAACGCAUAAGUUUUCUGUAGGUUGCUUCAUAUUUGAAUGUCUUCCGCUUUUUAGUACCUCUUUUUCGGUAAGGUCAAAAUGUUACGCUCUCGUCUUAUCGACCUACCUAAUAGAUAUUAUGAUGUUCCUAUUGAGUUAAUUGAUAAUCCAUCUUCGUCUUGUAUAUAUAUAAACUAAUUGCAAAUGGAUUACUACCUCUAUCAAAUUUAAUUGCAGUACCGACGUAUCAUAUGGUUGUUUGGUAGUCAUCGUAUCAUUUCUUUAUCGAAAUUCGUGGAAAAGUAAACUAUGGCAAGAUAAGUUUUUACAGUUNNNNNNNNNNNNNNNNNNNNNNNNNNNNNNNNNNNNNNNNNNNNNNNNNNNNNNNNNNNNNNNNNNNNNNNNNNNNNNNNNNNNNNNNNNNNNNNNNNNNNNNNNNNNNNNNNNNNNNNNNNNNNNNNNNNNNNNNNNNNNNNNNNNNNNNNNNNNNNNNNNNNNNNNNNNNNNNNNNNNNNNNNNNNNNNNNNNNNNNNNNNNNNNNNNNNNNNNNNNNNNNNNNNNNNNNNNNNNNNNNNNNNNNNNNNNNNNNNNNNNNNNNNNNNNNNNNNNNNNNNNNNNNNNNNNNNNNNNNNNNNNNNNNNNNNNNNNNNNNNNNNNNNNNNNNNNNNNNNNNNNNNNNNNNNNNNNNNNNNNNNNNNNNNNNNNNNNNNNNNNNNNNNNNNNNNNNNNNNNNNNNNNNNNNNNNNNNNNNNNNNNNNNNNNNNNNNNNNNNNNNNNNNNNNNNNNNNNNNNNNNNNNNNNNNNNNNNNNNNNNNNNNNNNNNNNNNNNNNNNNNNNNNNNNNNNNNNNNNNNNNNNNNNNNNNNNNNNNNNNNNNNNNNNNNNNNNNNNNNNNNNNNNNNNNNNNNNNNNNNNNNNNNNNNNNNNNNNNNNNNNNNNNNNNNNNNNNNNNNNNNNNNNNNNNNNNNNNNNNNNNNNNNNNNNNNNNNNNNNNNNNNNNNNNNNNNNNNNNNNNNNNNNNNNNNNNNNNNNNNNNNNNNNNNNNNNNNNNNNNNNNNNNNNNNNNNNNNNNNNNNNNNNNNNNNNNNNNNNNNNNNNNNNNNNNNNNNNNNNNNNNNNNNNNNNNNNNNNNNNNNNNNNNNNNNNNNNNNNNNNNNNNNNNNNNNNNNNNNNNNNNNNNNNNNNNNNNNNNNNNNNNNNNNNNNNNNNNNNNNNNNNNNNNNNNNNNNNNNNNNNNNNNNNNNNNNNNNNNNNNNNNNNNNNNNNNNNNNNNNNNNNNNNNNNNNNNNNNNNNNNNNNNNNNNNNNNNNNNNNNNNNNNNNNNNNNNNNNNNNCCUGCUUCUCUAUCACUGUCAAAAUUUAAAGUUUCAUGAAGAAAACAAAUUUGCAUCUAUAAGUAGGAAAUUAAGCAGUCCCUGAUUAAAGUCUUGAAAAGUUCAUAUAUACAUGACAAUAACUUAUAAAUACAUGUAUCAUACUUUAUAGGAUUUACCUGUUCCUGUAAUAGCUGAAGUUUCAGGUGAGAAUCAUAUAAAGUGGAAAUAGUAUGGGAUACUAGUAACUGACCAUGCAAAAUCCUCGUGAAUAGUCAACCCAUAGGAGUAGGAUAUGAGUAAAAUGAGACAUCAAUCCAACAAGAACAUCUACAAAACAUGUAUUUACUAGUCCAUAUGAUACUGGAGUAACAUUUGUUAUUACACAACUACAAGUUUAUUACCACUUGGUGUUUGCCUCAUUUGUUCUUGUUCAAAGAUUUUUUCUGAAUUUGUUUUAUGAACAAAGGGAGGUAAAUCAAUCUAAAAUAUUUCUUAAUACAAUGCAAUGUAUGAAUUAAGAAAAAUCUUUAUCCCAUCAGUGAUUACAACCAGUUUGAUUGCAUGCUUUCAUAAAUAUCUGCUAUGCCCACAACAUUUAUGAGUAAGAGCAAAGGAAGAUGAGAGAUGACUCAGUAUUUUUAAAUGAGAUAAAACAACAAAAUUAUGUAAAGAGUUGUAUGAGAUCUUGUUCGUCCUCAACAUUAGUUAAGGGCUUGCUGCCAGUUUAACCAUACACAAUACUACAUUAAAAAACACAGACUACUUUUAGAAUGAAGUUUUUUUUCUUACCUAAGCAACUAUAGAAAUAUUCCUUAAUUACCAUUUAGAGAAAUUGAGCUGGCCUGCAAAGUUAGAACUUAUAUUGGAUAUUAUGAAGAAAUCGUUGUGUUUUUUGAGUAUCUUAACUGUGAAUUAACAUGUGUUUAAGGGCUAGCAACAGCAGCUGGAUGUCAAUUGGUUGCUACCUGUGAUAUAGCAGUAGCUUCAGAAAAGUCACAGUAUGCAACUCCGGGGUAAGUACUGAUUUGUAAAUGUCACAUGAUCAGGGUUGGACUUGAGCUUGGUAUUGUUUUGCUUUGAACCUUUUAUGUAAAUAGACAUUGGUCUGUAUAGUCCUACAACAUUCAUUGUAUUAUUGCAGACCUGCCAACUAUCCCGAUUUUCAUGCUUCAACCUGAAUCCCAAAAUCGGGAUUGCAAAACAAGUCAUAAUCAAGAUUUUUACAAAAUAUACCCAAAAAUUAUUUGUAACCGAUUUUGAAGUUUUUCUGAUCAAUUUCUCCAAAUCUAUUAUUUUACCUGGCGACAUAAUUAUGACAAGUUUUCUACCCUACGCUAAUCAGCUUUCACAACAGGUGUCAUAAUUUGUUGUUACAAGUAAACCACUUAUCUGAUAGGUCAUAAUUAUCCUCAAAAUCAAUUAAUUUGUAAACAAAAUUGGUCAGUCGACUUUUAAAUAUUAAUCAACUUAUCAAUAUGAUCUCAAUUUGCAACAUUUACCAUAGUUUCAUGAUGAAAUCAUAAUUAUCUGUAAGACGAAAACUAUAGUGAACUUAUUAAAAAACAGCAUUGAUCUUGAAAUCUGUUAACAUUUUGAAAUCAGACAUGUUUGAUGUUUAUGUCCAGGUCGACUUGAUUUAUAAUUGAUGCCAUUUUGUAUUCACUCCUACUGUGUAUAAGCCUCUGCCGGUAAGGAGCACCUCUGAACACAAAGAAAGAUAACUCAAAUUUUAACCAUUUACUCAUACUGGGAUACUGUUGUCAGGUCAUUAAAGAUUGCAUAUUUUGGCUUUAAUAUUAAUUCACUUAUAGGGUCUUUGCAUCGGAAUUAAACACAAAUUUAAAAAAAAACAGUUGUUGGCAUGACACGGGCUAUGUUCUUAUAUAUUUUAUGAUAGUAUGAUACUAAACCCCUAACAGGAGGGAUUGUGCCUGAUAUUCAUAUGAUGAAGACAUAAUCUUUCAAUCAGUUUAAUUGAGGUCUGGAGCUGGCAUGUCAGUUAACUGCUAGUAGUCUGUUGUUAUUUAUGUAUUAUUGUAAUUUUAUUUAUUUUCUUUUGUUACAUCUUCUGACAUCAGACUUGGACUUCUCUUGAACUGAAUUUUAAUGUGCGAAUUGUUAUGCGUUUACUUUUCUAGAUUGGCUAGAGGUAUAGGGGGAGGGUUGAGAUCUCAUAAACAUUUUUAACCCCCUCAAUUUUGCGCCUGUCCCAAGUCAGGAGCUUCUGGCCUUUGUUAGUCUUGUAUGAUUUUAAAUUUUAGUUUCUUGUGUAUAAUAUCAGAGUUUAGUAUGACGUCUAUUAUCACUGGACUAGUAUACAUAUUUUUAAGGGGCCAGCUGAAGGACGCCUACGGGUUUUGGCUUCUGGCUGCAUUGAAGGCCCAUUGGUGGCCUUCGGCUGUUGUCUGCCCUGUGGUCGGGUUGUUGUCGCUUUGACACAUUCCCAUUUCCUUUCUCAAUUUUAUCUCAAAAUCCGUCUUCAUUCUUCUAGCUUUAGGACAUUUAGGUUUACGUCUUUUGAGUCAUGGUGGCUAGAUAAAAAGGUCUUUGGAGGGGGGAAAGGUAGGUCUUCACUUUGUAUCCCUUAUCUUAAUACCCUAUUUAUGGGCAUUAUGUUUUCUGGUCUGUGCGUCAGUUUGUCCGUCUGUCCUGAUUCAGUUAAAGUUUUUGGUCAAGUAGUUUUUGAAGAAGUUGAAGUCCAAUCAACUUGAAAUUUGGUACACAUGUUCGCUAGGAUAUCAUCUUUCUAAUUUUAAUGCCAAAUUAGAGAUUUUCCUCAUUUUCAUGAUCCAUUGAACAUAGAAAAUGAUAGUGCAGAUGGGGCAUCAAUGUACUAGGGAUACAUUGUUGUUAAAGGCCAUUUUUAUCUUUUCUCAAGUUAAUUUGCCAAUUAAUAAGCACAAGAAUCAUACAAAUGAAAGAAAUUAAGGCUGAUUAGCUCAUCAUUAGUAUACCAAAAGAAAAAAAAAACCAGAUAUUGGCUAUUUCAAGAUUAAAAAACAAAGCACACAGAAACGCCGCAAAAAUUGUACCCCUUACAAUCUGGUUGCACACUAAAUUCCCUAUGGAGAUUUUCAAAAGUUGGCAGGUCUGUUAUUGUAGAUUAAAUGUUGGCUAAUUUUGCUUUGAACCUUUUAUUUAUAUUAUUGUAGAGUAAAUGUUGGUUUAUUUUGUUCUACACCUGCAGUAGCAGUUGGAAGGGCUGUACCAAGAAAGGUUGCUAUGGAAAUGUUAUUUACUGGCCAUCCCAUAUCAGCUCAAGGUAAAACAUAUAUUCUUUGAUUAUAAAAAUUACAAUUGCAAAUUUAAAAAGGCCAGUGUGAGCUUUUGCCAUCACUCUAUAUAUAUGUCUGUUGUCUGUCGUCUGGCAUCUAUCAUCUAUUAACUUUUACAAAAAUCGUCGUCUCUGAAACCACUAGCUAAAAUUAAACCAAACUUUUCAAUAGUUAUUCUUAUCUUGAAAAUGAUGCUGUAUUGAAAAAAGACAACCUGUAGUAGAUAAAAACUAUUACAAAAAAAGUUUACUAGCAACACAAUAAAAAAAAAAGAAUUUUAAUCAUGAAUAUAUUUUAUUCUUAUAUUAAAGGCAUUUUUGUAGAUACACAAUGAUACAGAUUGGCUACAAAGUAUCUUUAGAGUCUAUAGUUUUCAGCAAUCAAGUAAACUUUCUUCAAAAUUCAUGAAAGAUGGGUAUGCAUUUUGUGUAAUCAUCUCCUCGUACAGUUUUCAAACCAGAUCUCUGAAGCUACAAAGGAAGAUUACACAUAUGUUGAAGUUAUGUACCUGAUAUUAAGGAAUUGUUAGAGAAAUUUACAUUUCAUACUUUAAACAUUUAAAUGAUCAGUAUAAAACAUUCUCCAUUGUUUAAGAAACAGUCUCCGCAACCCAACCAUUUUAGUCAGAUCUAUUUUUAUUUUUGAUUUUCUGAUUAUUUUAUAUUUCAGAUGCAUUGUUGCAUGGUCUCGUGAGUAAAGUUGUACCAGAAGAUAAAUUGGAAGAAGAGGUACAUUUUGUAACACAGUUAAAGAAAACACUUAACAAAGUUAAUGAAAAAGAAAAGAUAGAUUUGAAGAUGACUCCCAACAUGAUGACCAAAGGGAAAAUAACUCUUACCCAAUUCACAUCAAUCUAAAGAUGUUGAUAUAUUUCAUAACUAAUUUGCAAUUUUAUAGAAAUUUAGGCCACUUACUAAAGAUGUUUAUCUAAAUCUGUUUAAAUGCAACUUUAACUGGUAAAUCCUGUUGAAAUUCAAAACCCUCCCAUAAAAAAGGAUCUCCAAAUGAUUUUUGAAAAACCUAUGUGCUAGAGUUUGUUAUAUUGGGUAGAAGAUAUCUAAAAUUAGAAUGAAAUUCAAAACAGUGUGGCUGUGGCCAUUGAUCGACUCAUUAAAUUCAUCCAUUGACUGGGACAAUUUACGUGAACGUUUGUCUGUAACGACCACUGUUCACGACGUACCUACGAUAGAUAUUUAAACUGUGGGGUCACCACAGGUUUCAUAACGCCUUUAAUAUAAAAAUAAUUCGAAAAAUUAAUCAGGAAUAACCUUUAUGUUCUGAUUUAUAUAUUAUAUAAAUCAAAACAUCGUGUUAUUUCUGAUUAAUUUUUUCGAAUUACUUUUUAAGGUGUUGAGAACCUUUGGUGACCCCAUAGUUUAAGUGUCUUUUAAAAGUACAUAGUGAGCAGUGGUCGUUACAUACAAAUGUCACCUAAAUUGUCCCAGUCAAUGGAUGAAUUUAAUGUGUCAAUCAAUGGCCACAGCCACACUGUUUUGAAUUUCAUUCUAUAAGUAUUUUUAAUAUCAAUUGUUUUUUUGGUGUUCAGACACAGAUGUCUGUGUUGCCUCAAUGUAAGAUACGUCACUGUGUUAAAGAUUAGUUUUAGACAGAUCUGAUGGGUGCUUUAGUGUUAGCUUAUGUUUUGAUUAUUUUUAAGACAAUGAAGAUAGCAGAAAGAAUAUGUGAGUCCAGUAGAAGUGUUAUAGCCCUUGGUAAAGCUACAUUUUAUGCACAAAUGAAUUUAGAAAGAAAAGAAGCAUACAAGUAAGUAUGUGAAUGAUAGCUAAUAAAUAAUACAGUUGUUAGCAAGAGUUAUUUUCCUUUUCUUUGCUUCAAAUAAUGAAAAAAUUAGUAUUCCUGAUGUAAGUAUAUUAAGUGUUUUCAUAUUGAAAGAAUGGAAGAUUCACAACACUGAGACUGGUAUAAAUUUAUUUAUGUUUGCUACCAUUUGACAAUGAGAUGCAUACAUACAGUAAAUGCACAUCACUUUAAACCUGUGUAUGACAUAGAAAUUAAGAGUGGAAUUGGAUUGCUGAAAAUUUAUAUGAUAUUUAGUAGAGAAACAGAUUCCUUUUACAACACAUCACAAAGGAUAUUCAUAUUUUAAAUAGGUAAAGUUCAGGAAUUGAAUAUGUUAUAUAUAUAAUUAAUGAAUAAAAUGCUAGUACAGUUUAUUCUAUUGAGAUGCUAACCUAUAAACAUUACAAAAUGGUUUUGAUCAUAAAUAAAUAUGGAAAAUUAAGUUCUCACUCGUUCUUUUUAAUCUAAGAUUUUGCACCUAUUCAUUAAUAAAGUUUGCUCCAAUAAUAGAUGACAAUACAAAAAAUGUUCCUUGUUAGAUCUCUAAUAGGAAGAUUUGCCUGCUUGUUGGCAUUGAUUACAAAGGGCCAAGUGAGCUUUUCUCAUCACUUGGCGUCCGUUGUCGGUUGUCCGUCGUCUGUCGUAGUCGUUAACUUUUACAAAAAUCUUCUCCUGUAACUUUUUGUAAAUUUUUACAAAAUACUUUCCUCUGUAUCUAAAGGGCCAAGUCUAUACAGAUGGAGAAAAUUGAAAGUAGCAAGAAUGUUCAGUAAAAGUAAGAUCUACAAACACAUCACCAUCACCAAAACACAAUUUUGUCAUGAAUCCAUCUGUGUCCUUUGUUUAAUAGGCACAUAGACCAAGGUGAGCGGCACAGGCUCUUUAGAGCCUCUAGUUUGCAGUUGUUAAGAUUAUAAACAUGGUUGUCUCCCAUUGCCCAGUUUACACUUACAAUAUAAAAAAGAACACAUUUUAAAAUAAUGGAAAAUAUUGUUUUUUUAAAUAAUUGUCUAGAUAAACAACCAUGUAUGACUUAUAACACAGUGAUAUCUGAUAACCAGUAUAUUUUGUGUUUUUUUUUUUUUUUGAUCUCUUUUUGUGACAAUUUUUCAUAUCAUGCUACUCUUUUGUGAUGGAAAAUUAUCGCUAAAAACUAAGGAGGCAUGUGGCGUUGCUAAUGAAAUUGACAUGAAAUUGACAAUGUUGACAUAAGAUAUAUAAGAAAAUUACAGGAUUAAUACCAAGACAAUACACAUUGUUGUACGUAGGAGAAAUAGCGAUACACAGAUUGUCAUUGGUCAUCUCAACUCGAUUGCUUUUCUCUCUUUUGCCGUAACCAGCUCAAGCAAGAAAAGCAAUCUCGUUGAGAUGAUCAACUAUAAUCUAUAAUUACAGCUGCCAGUUAGUUUAAAGACAGUUCAGUUAACGUUGUAUCCUGUACUCUCAAAAAAUAUGCUUGCCUAAAAUUUAAUGUAUGUGAUAAAUUAGUUGAAAACCUAUUGUUAAUUUUUGAAAUGCAUUUAAACUAGAAUAUUUCAUUUUCAAAAUAGAUUUUGGUUGGUUCUAUUAUUCUUUUUUGCAUCUGUCACUUCAUAUUUUAAAAAGAAGCUUUUAUUACUAAACUUCCCUUUAGGUCUAUAUGAUGAAGAUCAAUUUGAUCAGAGACAUGUUUUGUGAGUCAAAUGUUUGAUCAUCCAAAAUAUAAAAUAUUUUAAAAGUGUCAGGUGGAAAUAAAAUACCUUGAGAUUUUUAACAUAAAUUUUACUAAAAGGUAUAUUUCAUAGUUGUUAUAUAUUUUUUUCAGACUGACUUCCCAAGUAAUGGUGGAGAAUUUAUCUAUCAGUGAUGGACAGGAAGGAAUUAAGUCAUUUAUUGAAAAGAAAAAGCCAGUCUGGUCACACAAUACAAAUAAAGUACAUUAAAGUGAAUACCAAUAAGAAAUCUUAGGGAUCAUCGUCAAAUAAAACAUGUACUGAAUCAAACUAAUCAUCAACAGCAUUAUUUUGUUACUGUUUUAUGGUUUGAAAGCAUUGUACUAUUGAAUUCCUAAUGCUUUUGACACACAUUAUUCAUAAUUUUUGUUUUCUAGUCAUUGUUUACCACAUAACAUCAUACUUACAGGAAGUUAUUCUGCAUCACUUAUUUAAAAUUCUUUAUUAAUAUCUUUUAUGAUUAACCUAUUAGAUACUUGUACUUGUACUUGUAAACCAGAAGAAACUCUGUUUAAUCAGUUAGACAAAAACUUAUCAGGAAAUCUUUUGAUUUAGAUUGUUCAUUUGGAAAUGAGAAUGAAAAAGCAUACACUUAAAAAAAAAAUUAUUUGUUUUUCCUUUACAAGUAUUCAUCUUUUAAAAUUUUCAUGCUAUACUAUACUUUUGGAUAUUUUAUUGAUGUUAAACAUGCAAAUUGGUGUGUAAAACCCUGUAAAAGUCUGUUAGAACAUCAAUUAUCGCUAUUUUGUGCAUUUUUCCUUUGAUCUUUUUUUGUGAUAAUUUUCAUAUCAUGCUUCUUGCUUGAGAUGGAAAAAUUAUCGCUAGAAACUAAGGAGGCCACGUGGCGUUGCUAACCAAAUUGACAUGAAAUUGACAACGUCGUCAUAGGUGAAAUAGCGAUAAACAGAUUAUCAUUGGUCAUCUCAACUCGAUUGCUUUCCUCACUUUCGCUGUACCAGCUCAAGCGAGAAAAUCAAUCUCGUUGAGAUGAUCAACGAUAAUCUAUAAGUAUGUUAUCAAUUGACCAUAAAUAAACCUUAGAAAUAUGUUUUAAUAUUUGAAUAGUGAAGAAGUUAUGACAAUAAUUGCAUAACCGUUUAUUAAUUAUUUAUAAAGUAAGAAAAAAUUUUCAUAAAAUUAUUGAUGUUUAAUAUAUUUUUUUAUUCAAGUACAGACUGAUUUUUGAGUAUAUUUAAUUAAGUUAGAAACUUUUGUAAUUUUAGCAUAUUUUAUUAUAGUUUGUAAUUUGUGAUAUACAUAAUAUGUGAUUUACAUAAUAAUUUUACAAUAAAAAUUAUUGAAAAAAUCAAAUUUUAGUUUUUUUCAUAUUUAGAAAAUAGAAAUUUUACCCCAACAGUGGUUGAAAAAAGAAUUUAGGGACUUUUUUUAUUCAAACUAGUAAAAAAAAAUUGUCUUGCCUGCUUCAUUAUCAGACAUGCUAACUCUGUACGGAAAAAAGGAAAAAGAAUACUUGGCUCAAUAAUAUUUCGUUUUACUGAUAGUCUGACUUUUCUAUAUUAUUGUCCUUAACUUCUUUUUCAUGCUCAUCAGUGAGUACUGAAAACAAAUUGUUUCUUUCACAUGGUUUUGUCUGUAAAUACAAAUUUAAGACAAUACAUUUUUUUUAGCACAAUUAAGACAACACAUUUUAGUGCAUAGUCAUUUCAUUGUGGUUAAGUUUGUUUCUGAGAUAUUAUCAAAAGGUCAACUUUUAUUGAAAGAUGUAUGGAAUGAUUGUGAAUAAUUUAAACUCAUUAUAAAUACCAGGAUUGAAAUUUUGUAUUUGCGCCAGACACAGCUUUCGUCUACAAAAGACUCAUCAGUGACGCUCAAAUAAAAAAAAAAGGUGUACAAGCCAGUCCAUCUGACAGUUUAAAUUUAUGUUAAAUGAGUUUUGUCUUGCAUGCAGGCAAGGAUUUGUAUAGUUAGACCUACUACAAAUCCUUGAUUGAGGCUAUGAUACAACAAAUGGAAGUUUCUAACGACAUUGACUGGCUAUACAGCCCUUUCUAUGAUAGUAAAUAUAAAGUGUACAUACCUUUUUGAGAGGGCUGCCCUUAACCCCGAUAAGAACGAACUUCAAAAAUCAAAAAUUAUUAGUUAGAAACAAACAUGACCUUGUGCAAUGCCAACACAAAGGUUUCAACAGAUAGUAGGACUAUGAAUGUUCAUAAGUGUAUACAAUGAUAUUUUAUUUGAAUUUAAUUUAUUGAUGACAAAACAUGUUGAUUCAUUCAAAACAUGUUGAUCAAUACUUCAUUUAAGUAACAAAAUUCUUAUAACAUAAGAUCUAUACAUUUAAGAGGCAUUUGGACAAAGUUGUAUUUACAUAUCACUUCUGCUUUUUAUAAAAUAUUUCUGAAGCAUUAAUUUAAUAUUAUAGUUUACAUGGUGGUUGUAAGAUUGGCCGGAUGACAACACCAACAAUGAUUUUUUUUUUAAAUCAGGUGUACUUGGUCAUUAACUAAAACUGGUCAACUAUUGGACUAUAUGGUAAAUAAGUCACUGAUGUCGUAUUUAAUUUUGCAUCUAUUUUGGGUUAUGUAAGAUGGACAAAUCUUAAUAUACGAAUAUUAUUCAAUACAAUUUCAGAGUAAGUUUUCUCUAUAGUGUUGAUUUCUGCAUAAACAUUUACAAUUCUUAAGGUAUGUACCGUUUUCAUAUUCAAUAUAAUUCAUUCACUGUAUGUAUAUCAAAACUCCUUAAAAUUUUAGAUAUUAUUUUGAAAUACGAUAUCAUUUGCAACAGCAAUGAAAUUUAUUAUUUACAUAAACUAUUAAAAUCAUUGAUAACAGUAAAUGAUAAAGCUAAAAUGUUUUUAGAAAUAUUUAAUUUCAAAAUUAUAAUGAAGAAGAGUUAUUAAUUGAGUAGACUCGACUUAAUAUUAUAUCACCACAAAAGGAAAUGUAAAGUGACAUUCAACAGGAUAAUAUAUGAGCAAUGUUGUUUUUCAUUUAAAUUUCUUACUCUGUUCAUAAAUAGAUAUGAUUGAACAUGAAGCAUAUCUUUUUUUUUUUUUUUUAGAAAAAAAGGAUUAUAAAUUCAAAGUUAAGAGUGACGAAAAACAUCCUUUACAUUUGAAAUAUAAUACCAAGAAUAUGUCAUGCUUUGUCAUUCUUAUAAGAAAUAAGGAAGUGGUACCUCACAUAAAAAUAAUUAUUGAUGUUUUUAAGUCUUGCUUUUAUUUGAAGCAUAUUCCCCUGUUUAUUUGAUUUUCUGUUUGGUUGUAAGUGUGAAUAGGACGGUGUUGACAUGUACGAUGUCUGAUUACCUUCAUAAUAUGAUUGCCUUAAUUGAUGAUGUAAAAUUAUUUUAUUUUCAUUUUAAAAAAGUAAUUCAGCAACCUGUAUAAGUAUUCAUACACGAUUUGAAUAUAAAAAGCGCAUUUAAGUAUCAUAACAAAAAAUCUUUUCAGAGAGAAAAAUAAAAAUAUUUCUUAUUAAUUCAUUUAAAUAAAUAAGUUUAGUAUGCAUUUAGUAAUUACGUAAACAGCUAUUUGCAUAGUGGUGACCUGACGAUAUGAUGUUACGAGAAAAGCGGUCAUGAAUGAAUUCAUCUAAAUGAUUUGAAAUAAUUUCGAUUUAUGUCAUUCGAAGAUAUACAUUAUAAGCCUAUUGAAGUGAAUUUUGUAAGGGUCUGAUGAUAACAGUCAUUAAAUUUUACAUGAAUUAUAUUUAUUUUGACAUGUAAAUAAUGUAUUUAUGUCAUCACAAUCAAAACCGUUUAGACGAAUCAAGAUAGAGUCCAUCCCACACCAGGCAAUAUUUCGAUACAUAUGGUGGAAAUACUUUAAACAGUGAAAUGACUAUUUCAUUUUUAGUUUGAAAGUUAAUUAAAGAUAGGAAAUAAAGCGAAAUGAUAAUCUAUUUUUAUGGAAUGAAUACGGUUUGGUUGUUUGCAUUGUCUGUAAUAAUUUAUCCAGCAAACGGAGCUGUAAGUAUUCAAACCUUUCGUUGAGCUUCAGAACAUUUAAUGAUUUAAUAUAAUUUAUUUAUUCUAUAUAUUUUAGAAACAAUGGUCAUCAUUUUUAGCAAGUUACUGUAUUUUUUUAAUAAAUUUAAGAAAACUUAUGGGAAAAGCAAUACAAAAUAAGUUUUUACAUACAUCAUGUAUAUUUAUAAGUAUCUGUAGUAAAGAUCUAUGGAUCUCCUUUUCGCAUUUCCAAAGAUUGAUUUAUAUAUUUACACCACGAGCCAAACGGUCAGCCGGGAAGGCGAGACAGGAAGAUUGUGCAUAUGAUCGCAUUGUGUGAUGUGCAACGGAGAUUUUUUUCUUAUCACAGAAGGGUAACACAUAGGUUCGAGUUGUGCACCUGCUUAUGGAAAUAUUUGAAGAUUUUGUUUUACAUUUUCCCGCAACAUUUACAACCUUCGCCUAAUUGCAUUUACAUUUACAUCGUUAACAUUCUACAUUCAUUAGUCACAAAUGUUGCAAGACAAGACAAGACAAAUACUUUAUUAAAGUCUCACCACUUGUAACAUAUAAAAUAUACAGCUUUUUAAAACACAAGUUAACAACAAGAGCCACUCUACAUAGAGUUAUUAGAGACUAUAAAACAAUUUUUCUUAAAUUAUAUUACAAAUUCAAGUCAACUAUCAUGAGUAUAAAGUACAUUUUCGCUUUAUUAACAUUUCAUAGCAGAUUUUGGCAGUAUAAAAUACCAUAUUUUCAUUUGUUAUCAGACAUACAAUACUAACAUGUUAAAAAUAACAUUACGGAUAUAUGAAUAUACAGGACAGUUUAACAAAACAUGUUUUUUAAUCUUCAACGUCAUCAGUACAGUUAAAACAUAAUCUAUUUUCAAUAUCAAUAUGUUCAUAACGACCAGUUUCAAUUCUGACCGGUGCUACACCACAUCUAAAUUUUUCUAAAGCCCUCCUGUAUUUACCUGGUAUAUUAAAAAUCAAAUAAUUUUCUACGCCAUAUACAUUUUUGAAUAUUCUAUAUGUACGUAAUUUUUUUAUCAUCUGACAUAAUCUUGUCAUACAUUCUUCCUUAAAUUUCAAAACAUACUUUUCAAUAUUCUUAAUUAAAUCCUUGUUCAAAAUACACCAUUGCACAAAUAUUCAUAGAUUCAGGAUUCAAGAUUCAAUAGUUUAUUAAAGUCUCACCACAUACAACUGAUUAAAACAGAUACAAUUAAAAUUAAUUAUCAGUAAACAUAGUCAAACAAUUAAAUAAUGUAUUGCAUCUUAAAAGAAUAUGAGAGACUAUUAAAAUACAAAUAAUACUUAUUCGUGUUUAAAAAUAUACAUACAGUAGUAAUGAUAUAAAAUACUGUUUCUCCUUGUUAAAUUUAUUGCAGUUUGGCAACAAUAUUACAAAUAUUGGUAUUUUAAACAUAUUAUAAAUUUUUCUUUCAGACAAGUUUAAAAAACUAUCAUUUGACACAUAUAUCUAUAAAAAGUGCUGUUUAGAUCUUCAUCAAGGGACAAUUAAAAGUACAUGUUUUUCAUCCUCUCAAAAUAUUACAGUUAAACAGACUCUUUCGUCUAGAUUUUUUCUUCAUAUCGACCAUUUAAUUUUUAUUGGUGCUACACCACAUAAAACUUUGAAAAGCACUACGAUGGGGCUGUGGCAUUUUCUGUAGCAAAUAUUGCUCAGUGUUAUAAGUAUGUUUUAAAAAGUUUAUUGUUCUCAUUUACAACCGGUCUAUAUGAAAAAUUUUGUACACCAGUCUUUUUAUAAUUUCAAACAUUUCUCUCUACUGAGAUAUUAUAAUAUCAAGAAAAUUUUCAUUUAUUUUUACAAUAUUUUCAAACAAAUGAUUUCACUCUCCAUACUUUGUAGCACCAAUUUUUUUAAUUUACAACUACCUUCAUCACUGACCAUUUAAAAACUUUAUAAAUUAAUUCUAUUAUUGUCAUUUUUGUACAUUGGACAGUGUCUAAAAUAUUAUUCACUGUUUAAACAUGGUGUUUCCAGCCCAUGUCACCUACACAGCAGCGUUUGGGGUAUAUUUCCCACACCAUGUAGAAACGCAUGGCGCGAUUCUGUACUGCGUGAUGCUCGAAAAUCUCUGUGCCCCAAAUAGACGAGCCAUAAUUAUGACUGACCAAACCAUCCUGUCGAAUAGCUUGUGUAGAUAUUGUGCUGAAAACCCAUGUGCUUUACAUUAACAAUAAGUAACCCAAUGCCCUACUGUGACCCUGCUACGCUUUUGCAUUAAUUGGUAGUCUAAAAAUUCCGUUAACAAUAACAUAAGUAUUGGUAUUUGAAGCAUACUCAAUAUUUUCAUCAUUUAAACUAAAACGAAAAUCUGAUCUGGCUACAGAAGGAUUUCUAAAAUGUAUAACUUGUUUUUACUCUGAAAUUGCAACUUGGCUAUUUGAGACUUUGACUCAUUUUUAACUUUGAGAAUGAAUCAAGCAGAUUAGAAAUUAUAAUGAAAACUUUUGAAAAUUAUCAAAUUAACAAUUUCUUAUAUCAUUAGUUGCACCAUAACGAAAGGGGAAUACACUGAUACAUUUACAAAGUUCUUGCAAUUAACGACUUGAAAUGAUAAAAAAAUUCUAUCAAACUAUGGUGAUUUGUAUGAAUAUCAUGAUACAUGUAACAUCGAGAGCAUGAUAUAGACAAACAAACGGAAUUUGGAGCUGUUGCAGACCAGAGGCUUUUUUUGUCUUUGCGGUUUUUUUUCGACAGUAAGAUGAGUUUAUUUUCCUUCAAUUCGUUACAUUUUCUUUAAUUUAGGAGGCGUAUUUGUUUUGUCUAUAUUUCCUCGCUUUUGAACGACGAUGUUUAAACAGGAUAUUCUUCUUUUCUUUUAUUGUUUACACCUGCAUUCAAUAUUUCUGCAUUACUCCAAUCUCUUUUCAACAUAAAAAUACUCUGAAACUGCCGGUUUCCAGCAGAGUUGGAUCUUAUUUCAUUGUAAUUACAUAACAUCACAUUGAAGCUUCUAAUAUAAUUUUUAGACUUAAUAUGUUGUACAGGAAUCCUGGAUUUCUGAUAAUCUCUUACGUAAUUAUACACUUUUUAGCAAUAAUAUUUUUUUAUUCGAAUCAAUAAACAGCCAGACAUUACAAAUCUUCCGGCGACAAUAAAUAUAAUAGAGAGCCAAACAGCCUCAAUUGCCACAGCGGACAUUCUGUUUUCUUUGGCAGUGACGGACAAUGAAACCUUUACGUGUAAUGUUGAUUCGACGACACCUGCUCCUACUGUACCAGCCUUCAUCGUUAAUGAUGAUAGUGGAGGUAAGUACCAAAAGUGACUGUAACAAAGUUGAUAAGUACACAUCAUAAUUAUAAUGGCUGUUUACAUUUAAAAUCACCAUGAAUAAAAUGACUGAGAAGUAGGUUAGAAAGUGAAUCACAUUGUAAUUACUUAGUAUGUGAUAAUUGUCGAGUCAUUGAUGUCUUUCUUUCGUAUAUCUUAAAUGCUUUCAGAUUAGAGUGUUUCCAUGACAUAAUCGGAUUUUAGUUCUAUUUACUCGGGCAACUUUUCUAUCCCAUAAUUUUAACUUCAGACCGAGUGUACAUACAAUUUAUCUACAUAUUUGGUUUAUAUAUAUAUAAAAAACAUUAUGAACUAGAUUAUGCACACAUAUAUACAUUAUAAUUCAAGCUGAAAUUCUCAUUGUCUAUUGAAAGUUCGACACAUACAACAGACGUAAAAAAGUAGACGUCAUAAUUGUAGAAAAGCGUCAAAAUUGCCUUUUAGCAAAGGUAGCCGCGAGUUUUAAUACCAUUUUAUUUAUAUAAAUCAAUUCAAAUAUAAUCGUUUUUUUAAUGAGCCCUAUAAUUGUAACCAGAAAAGCUAUGGUAAAGCAACUUCAGUUGUUAAUGUUUUCAUUGGUCUUCAAAGUUGAGUAUGAUGUGAUUGUGUAAUUUAGAAAUUGACAGAUUAUAUAAUAUUCUAAGUGAAUUUUACGGAACGCAACUCAUCUAUAUCAAACGAAAAACGAUAUGAAAGGGGCACUAGCUGCCAAAUUCAUGUUCACCGAUUUGAUUCAAAUUCUCAAUUCUCAAUAACAAUGUAAAACAUUUUCCCAAACUUCCAAAAGUAUAAAAUAAUCAAUUUACAGGAAAUGGUCUCAAUAAGAUGUAGCGUCGUUUCGUGUGAAUUUUAACCAAGACGACAUCUAAUUAACUAUCGAUUUGACCUUCUAUGAACAUAUAAGCGAUGAAAACAUAAACAUAGAUAUAAAGAGAUAAAGCAACUCGUGCAAUUGGAUUUUUAUAGGUCUGUUAAAUUUUGAAUUAUAGAUUAACAAUUUAUGUUUAUCGUCGUUUUUACCUAUAUAAGAAUUAUGUUUUGUGAAUCGAAUCAGUUAAUCAAAUUAUUUACCUUUGUUUCACUUUCAAUGUUGAUAUUCUUUUCCUUAAAAUAACCGUACACGGACAAUGCUUGCGUUAUUCUAUCUCUCUCUACGGGGUUAAAUUGGAGUUCACAUAAAUACGGAUUUAAUGAGGUCGAAUUAUUCACUUGCAAGUGAAUAAGUCAUUAUCAAUGUUUAUUAGCUUAAUUUGACAAAAUUAAACCAUUUUAGUUGAUAACAAACAAAUUAUUAUUUCACUAUUUUACUGAUUGAACAAAAAAAAAAAAAAAUCAUACUUUAGAUUUGGUAUACAUCUCGUAGCUAGUGACCCUUUAAACGAACUCAUUAUAUUCGAUCAUUAUUUUCUUAACUACAAAUUGUUCAUUAUUAUUUUGUAAUAUUUUCAGCGUUUAAUUUCUAUCUAGCCAAUAACCCAGGGUUUGAAUAUGACACAAAUAGUUCCUACACAGUUAUCAUUGCAUGCACAAACGCCAUACCAGAAACAUCAACAGCAACACUUACCGUGAACCUUACUCCUAACACACCUCCUACUUUCACUGUGUUACCUGCAACCAAGAGCAUACCAGAAACAUCUCCUAUUGGAACUACAGUGGAAACUCUGACAGUAACGGACACAGAUAAUUUCACAUGCAUCAUUACUUCGCAAACCCCAAAUCUGGGAAUAUUCAGCAUGCCAUAUGUCGGUACCAGUGAGUUUUUUUCGAAUAUACGUGUUUAUCUAUUAUAAUACGUAAUUGGGUUUACUGGUAAUUUAAAAGAAACUAAAUCGCACCAAGCAUAAAUAAGUGUUCCAUGAAUAUAUUAACAUGAAGAGAAAAGUAUGAUAAAACGUUUCUAUCAUUUUUACCACUAGGUAUACCUUUAACGUACCAACAAAUAUUCAUUUUCAUAUGAAAACACAAAUGUGGUGCAUAACAAUGUAUACGAAACCAAAUAACUUGUUUAUUCUAUAACACAGCAUCCUACUGAGAAUUUUCUUUUAUUCUUAGAUUAUGAGAUUCAUUUGGUCAGCAGCUUAGACGCUUCAACAAAUUCUGCUCAUACUUUGACAAUUACAUGUCAAGACGAUUGGGGAUCUACAACAAAGACAUUGUAUGUAACGGUACUGGCCAACCCACCACCCGCUUUAACAAGUUUUCCUGCUUCCGUGUCGGUGAAUGAGCAUGAUGCUGGUGGAAACAGUAUUUAUACGAUCAAAGUCAAUGACACUGAUUCGUUUACAUGUAGCAUCGCCACUACACCGACAACAUCUGCUUUUACGAUUGACCCAGCAACAAGUAAGUUCGAAAGAUAAAAAGAUAACGAACUAAUCCAUAUUACUAAAUUUCACGGCGGUACAUUUUUAAUUGUAUUAUGCACAUUAUACACAAUUUACGACUGAAUGGACGAGCACUUUCAGUUUAUAUAGUCGUUUUCCAUAUAACAGUACGAAUUUUAAUGCAAACGGUUGGCGCUACAUAUUUAAAGUGAACUAGAACACACCUGUGAUAUCGCGGGUCCGUGACUGAAUUAAAGUAUAGAACUAUGCGUAUUAUCUGAUAAAGUCAUGCCGAUUAUAAGAUGCACAGUUUUCUCUGCUUUAAAAAGCUUUCUGUUUGAACCCGUAGACCUUGAACUUAUCAAUUAUUGGUAAUAUUAAUUAUUUGGAAAACAAAAGUGCCUGGAAUGGAGUAUUUUUUAAUCAACAGCAUUGUCCUAUAUUAGUUAUUUGAUCUUUGAUUCGCUGUUUUACGUCAUGCCGGCUAACAAAUUGAAAACUGUACCUAUACGCCUUAAUUUAAGUCCAAAUUUUUAAUAUUCGUAUUGUCAUCUUAGAAAGUCAUACUGAUUAAAAUACUACAAUAGGGAACAAUGUGGCAAUGGUUGAAUUUAGUAGUGUCAACCCUGUGGUUAUGACCCGUGUAUAUAGCAAAAUCCUAAAUACACCGGAUGGUGGUGCGCCUGUUAGAUGCGGAACGUACAGAUAAGGUAAUAGGUAACAGGUGAAUAUACUAUUGGUAUCGGUAUCGGAUUCGACCGGAACUUGUUAAUUAUUGGCAAUAUUAAUUAUGUGGACUGCAAAAGGGUCUGGAGUGGUGUAAUUUUUAAUCAACACCAAUGUCCUAUAUUAGCUAUAUAUAAAGUUGAAUUCUUUGAUUUGCCGAUUUUACCUGAUGACGACUGACAAAUUGGACCUCGUCAUUUUAGUAUUAUAGAUUCUUAAAAAAAGAAAAGAAAAAAGUCGACAUAUUAUAACUUCAAAUAUUAAUUAAGGUAACAGUCUAGUCGUUAUCUUAACUACACUUUUGCGCACAACUGGGCCUGAGCGCUAAGAUAAUUAUAUCGUUGUUUUAAAAUUACAGUCUAAUCUAUAUAUCUUCAUAUUAUAUUUCGGUAUCCAGAAAUAUGAUUUCUAAAUGUUUGUUUUAAACAUGAACAUCAUUUCCCCCCACAAAUGAGCAUAAUUUAAAUAUGCAGAUUUCUUUCAGAUGAAAUAAAUCUUAUUGCUGGUCAUGGGUUGAACUUUGACACACAUAAUACGUAUACAAUAACGAUCACAUGUAGUGACACUUCAGGCUCGUCAACAGCAACAUUAACAGUGAAUGUACAACAGAAUACAGCACCAGUAAUCACGAACCUGCCAGUAACUGAAAGUGUCGAACAAACGAUUGCUGUAGGAACUAAUAUUAAAACCAUUACCGUCACAGAUGCAGAAAAUAACAAUUAUACAUGUGUUCUUGCAUCUCAAACUCCUAAUACUGAAACUUUUAUUUUGCAGUUUAGCACACCUAGUGAGUAGUAUUUAUUUUUCUAUUAUCAAUAAGUAAAAUCACAAAAGUACUGAACACCGAGGAAAUUCAAAACGGAAAGUCUAAUCAAAUGGUAAAAUCAAAUGAUACUACACAUCAAACGAAUGGACAACAACGGUCAUAUUCCUGAUUGGUACGGGCAUUUUCAAAUGUCGAAAUCAAAGAAUACCAAAUAUUACAAGCCAAUUUUAUAAAAAAAAAAGUAGAUAUUCAUUGUCAUCAUCGAUGUGCAGUGAAUAAAGAUGACAAGGUUAAUACAUAGAAAAUCGGUCCAUUGCAUUUUGAUAAAAUAAUAAAUAUUAACCUGAUAAAACUUUGCAAACAUGGUUUUCCUUUCUUUAUUGUAUAUCCAUAAAUAUAGUAUUUUACUUAAUGUAUAAUAAAUGAAAAAUCUAUUCGUAUAUGUUUUAAUUUCAGAUUAUGAAGUACAUUUAAACAAGGCCCUUGAUUCUGUGACAUAUAUUAUAAACAUAACAUGUUCUGACAACUGGGGAUCGACAACCAAGACUUUGAGUGUUUCCGUAACACCAAAUCAGCCCCCUAGUUUUACCGGUUUUCCCGCCAGCAUAACGGUGAAUGAGGCAGAUGCCGGUGGAAAGAGUAUUUACACUAUCGUCGUCACAGAUCCUGAUACGUUUAUAUGUAAUAUCUCAUCAACACCUCCAACCCCUACAGCCUCCACCUUUCAGAUCAAUACAACAACAAGUAAGAUAAAAUAUACUACAGAAGCCUUUGUGUUUUUCGAUUUUAGUUUAGUGUGACGUCCUUUUUCACAGAACUACUACACAUUUUUGUUCAGGGGCCAGAUGAACCUAGUAUUUUCUCGCUGUGUAGAAAACUUAUUGGUGGCCUUCUGUUUUUUCCUGCUCUUUGGGCGGGUUUUUGUCUUUUUGACACAUUCCACGUUUCCAUCCUCAGUUCAUUUUAUAAGUAACACAAGUAACUAUAAAAUAGAACUGCAAUAUAAAAAAGGAGGUGUUUUAUGAUUGCAAUCGAGAUAACUAUCCACCAAAGUUCAAAUAAAGUGGAUGUUAUCAAUGAUGUAGCACACUGGCCCUCAAGAAUGAAAAAAAAAAACCACACCGUAUUGUCGGCUAUAAAAGGUUUCGGACCAAAAAAAAAUCAAUUAUUUAGAAAACUAACAGCCUAAUUCAUAACACAACCAUUUACGAAAAAAAAAGAGACAGAUAUGAACCAACGACAAUCACUGAACUACUGACUUCUUACAUAAGCAUGUGGCAGUUUGGUUGAUUUAUUUUGGUUAUAAUUUUUAUGAAAGGAAAUUAAAUGUAUGACGUGAUAUAUGGGUAACAAAAUAAAAUAUUCAUGAAAGAACAGUCAAUUACUAAUUAUAAUAGAAUCAUAACAGCAGUAUAUAUAACAUUAUAAAUUAUCCAACAAUAUACCAUCCUUUUUAAAUAGGAGAACACGAAUGUUGUUGAAAGAUAAGAAAUACAUAUCUGUAAAUGACGCAUCUGUGUUACUAAUGACACACGACAAUCUGUCGUUAAAUCCUGAAGGCUGCAAAAACGGGAUUAUACGUUACCAUUCAGAAUUUAUCGUGUUUUAUACUGCACGUGUUCUAUUUGAACAGUCAAAAUGCGUUGACUGUAUAUUUCUAUGUCAUAUACAGUCACUGACCGGAAUCACUUUUCCUCAGAAUAUUUAAAAGAAUUGCCGAAAUUAUAAUUAAUUAUUCAUAUGACCUAUUCAACCUGUUCUUAUUCCCAAUGUAUACAACGACUCAAACUUAUUUCUUUUGCAAUUUUUAGAAGAAAAAACAUAUUUCACUUGUUAAUUUUUUUGGUUUGCAAACUAUAAAUCAUUAUGUUUUAUGCUUAUUGUUGAUAUUUUAAUUCAUUCUUAAACACAUUCGUUCACCAUCGAUUGCGGUUUUAACAGGUAAUGCACAUUUCAUUGUGUUGUAUAUUUCUCAGCCUGCAUGAUAUGAGGCCUUUUUAUAAAAGGGGAAGUUUCCCAAUAUCUUAAUCAAAUAAUAACAUUAACACAUCAAACAACAAUUGAAAAUGUUUUUUUUUUAGAUUGCCGUAUAAGGACAAUAAUAGUGCUUGACAUAUCAACGAUAUAAGGAUUCGACAGAACCUAGCAUUUCCCCGUUUUUAAGCCACAACCUUAUAUCGUUGAUAUGUCAAGUCUAAGUCUAUGCACUAUUAUUGUCUAAAUAAUGUAGUGCUUAAAUGGGAAUUCCAUUUGGAAACACAAGCCUUGAAAUGUCGUAUCUAGUUAUAUAUCCUUUUAAUAGAUAUGCAAAAACUGGAUUGUUUCUUCAUCAAAAAUAAUAUCAAAAUAAGAAAAUUGGAGUUAUCACUUUUGUUAUCAAGCUUAUAUAUAUAUUUAGAUAGUUUGUAAAAAUAGAAAUGAUAUCUGUUUUUGAAGACAUGUGCACCGAACGAAGAACCUAGUUGUCAAAUAAUAAACAUUUUGGUUAUCAUACACAACGCAAUGGAUGUCUAUUAUGGAAUAAAAAUUGCUGAAUUUGUAUGGGAACCUGUCGUAACCUCUCGUUGUAGGGGUAUUUACGUGACUCAAUUUAGUGUUUUUUGGAUGUUGAUUGUAUUUUCUUACUUUUUCUAUUUACUUAAUUGUCGUCUACCUUUUUUGUUUACUCUAAUCUCGCUAUUUGCAGAACCCUCUAAUUAGAAUCAAUGUGUUUAUUUUUAAAUAGUAUAAAAGUGGUAUGCAUUGAGUUAUAGAUAAUGCAUAUUUUAAGGUAACCUGUCGUAGAACACCCCGAGGUGUGUUCUACAACAAGAAAAACCUUAGAAUAUGCAAUAUCUCACUUAUAUACCGUCAAAAAAUAUUUUUUUACAAAGAUUUGCAAAAUUUAGUCUUCUAUUUUACCGACCACACUUAAGUGGGAUAUUCCUUUCUAAUGCGGUCAGGUUUUAAUACGCCCUACGGCUCAUUUAUAAUGUGAAAUAAAACUCACUUAUUCAUCUAGAUAUAAUGCUUUUAAAAUUUAUUAUCCAUACACAAGAAAAAUAUAACUGCAACUGCAUGAAGAAACACACAAAUGAAUUGUUACCAUCCGAUAACAGUUUAUGACAAAAACAAAAACAAGACGCAUUGUAAGUAAUUUAUUUUACCAACUUAAUUUAUGGAAAAGAGGGGGGCAUAUUUUUUUUCUAUUUGUAAUGACAUUUCUAUCGCGGAAAAGUGGUUAUUUUUUCAACAAUUUUAAUUGAAUCGAAUGAAAUAUUCAGAGAGAUUGUCUUUUGAAUAGCAAUACAUUUUUAACAUAUUAUUAGAAUAUAAUUAUAUACCCUCCCCAACCGACCCUAUUGUGAGUUACGUGAAUGUUAAUCAAUAAUAUAGCUUAUUAGUUGAUCAUUUGAUAGAGUAAAAUGUAUACAUGAUUUUUUUAAAGUUAAGAACUGACACGAAGACGAAUAUAAAUACACGUAGGUCACAGUAUUCAGUGUGUAUCGUCCUGAACAUGCAUGAAAUAUUUGCCACUGGAAGUUAAGCAAGCAUCCAAAAAUCAAUCAACCUAUUCAGUGGGACAUAAUAAGAUUUUCAAAAUCUUACACACUAAUAUGUUAAAUUUUGCUAUAUUUUAUGGGGUUCGUGUUGUUUAUUCUUUAGUUUUCUAUGUUGUGUCAUGUUUACUAUUGUUUUUCUGUUUGUCUUUUUCAUUUUUAGCCAUGGCGUUGUCAGUUUGUUUUAGAUUUAUGAGUUUGACUGUCCCUUUGGUAUCUUUCGUCCCUCUUUUAUGAAAGUCUACAUUAAAAUUCAUCUCACAUAUAGAAUUUUUCAGUAUUGUAGCGAUAAAUUAACAAAACGUCACGUUAUAUUUGUUUCUAAGAUUAAAAUGCGGGCAAUGACGAUUUCUUUUACACCUAUCAUCGAUUGGACUUUAAAAGAUAAAUUAUCAAAUCGACAACAAAAAACUAUCAAACGAAAGUAAAUUAAAGAUUGCAUUUUUAUCAAGGAAAAUAAUGACCUGACAUAGGUCAUUAUUUUAUGCCUUGGAGCAUAUUUCAUUGAAACAUGGUAUCGUCCGGGUUGAUUAUGAGAAAGAAUGACCUAUGGUUCUAAAGAAAGUAACUCCAUAUAGGUAUAUAAUUUAAAGUAAACUAGACGUUUGAAUGGUCACCAUGAUGUUUGGUCGUCUAAUUCGUUCAAUUGAUCAGAUACAAGAUAAAAUUCGUUAAACAACAAUGAAGUUACGGUUAAUUUUAUAUUUAUCAUCUCACAGGCGACCAAAUACACAGCAUUGUUCUAGUUGUUAGCUACUGAGAUUGUAUUGCAAAUUUCUGUUUUCAGAUGAAAUAAAUUUAGGCAGUGGCCAUGGUUUAAAUUACGAUACUCAAAACUCGUACACCAUUACCAUUAUAUGUUCUGAUGAUACAGGGUCAUCGACGGAAUAUUUAACUGUGAACAUACUACAAAACUCUCCGCCGGUAAUAACGAAUCUCCCAGCUACUGGGUCAUACACAUCUGGGACAACUGUUAAGACACCGCUUCAUGAUCUGAUUGUCACUGAUCCUGAAAGCGACUCUUUUAUCUGUACAUGGAGUAGCACCCCAGUUGGACCAUUUGGCUUUAACAAUACAGGUAGAUUUUUCUCUAUUAUGAUUUAAGAAUUUGUUUUAUACAUUCAUCUUAGACUGUUCUUUUAAAACUUAAUUUGUGUGACAUUCAUUAAAUGGUAUUUUAAGAUAAUGAAUUGUCUAAAUGACGCAUAUUCUUUCUUAGAAGUUAAACUAUGCGUCAUAUUAGUUUACAUGGUUUAUACUGGUAUAAUUACAUUAGUUGUAUGUUUCAAUACGUUAUUUUGUUUGACUAACAUCAAUCUCUAAAUGAAAUUUAAUAUUCAUGAUGCUACACGAUUCCACAAUAAAUUCACAGGUAAAUAACAGAAAAACUGUUUUGAUGGUCAUAGCGGAAACAAGUAAUUAUAAGUUUUGAAUGCUUUUUGUCAGUAAUUUCAUAGGGUUUUAAAAGCGUUGACCGUGCGCUCAUUUAUAGAAUGAAGCGCUUUUGCACUUUAUGCAAAAUGUACUUCGGUCAACUGUUUUACACCCAAAUGAAUUUACAAAAAGAAGCAUUCAAUUCUUUCAUAAAACUUUUUAUUCAAUUUUGUACAAAACGGAAAAUAAGGAAAAGGAGUAGAGAACCCGGAUGCUGUUUUUAAUGGGUUUCUUAUAAAAGAACAUGCAAACAAAUAAUUUGAGAAAAACACUAAGCAAGUUUCUCUUAACAGAACUCAUCAAACAGUUCAUAUCAUUGUCAUAUGGUUUUUUUUUCAGCUAACCAACUAUACGUAAAUGCAAACCCUACAUUCUCUGCUUCAACUUACGCAAUCGAUAUUCAGUGCAGCGAUGCUUAUGGAUCAACUACAAAAACAUAUACAUUAUCUGUUACACCGAAUUCGGAUCCAGUCAUAACCGGAAUGCCUUUAACAGUGACAGUUUCCGAAACCGAAACUGCUUCUAGCACGAUACACCAAAUAGCAGUUACAGAUGCCGAAUCUCAUACAAUAUCAUGUUCUCUUGUGUCUGUCCCAGCAGGCCCGUUUUCAAUUAACGAGAAUCCACCUUGUAAGUUUUAUUUAGUUUAUAUUAAGCGUAGGGGGCUAAAGUGUAUUGGGCGCGAACGGACCUGAUACCGUUUUAUUUGCCUAUUUAAUUAUGUCGUCUCUGAAAUAACUUUUUGUUGGAAAACUCGAAAUUGGUUCUCGAAAUACAUUAUGCUUAUCUGUUGUGAUUUUAUGAAUAUUGUUUAAUCCUCCUUUUCCUCCAAAUCAAUAUUGUUCAAGUCACAAAGAGUAGAACUUUGAUCAUUCGCAUUUGUGUUUGUACUUUAUUCAAAAUAAAACAGAAUUGAAGGGAUUAUACAGUUAUAUAGUACGUAAAUGCAGUGUGAAAAAAGUAUGUUAAUACAUUUUAUUAUGAGCAAUAUUGUGACUAUUCUGAUGAUGUCGGUCUUUUUAGCUGAUUAAAUAAUUUUAAUUUUGAUUUUACAUAUAUAUAAUUUUUACUCUUUUAUUUAAAAUUUAUGCAAAAAUUAUACUUUUUAAACAUGCGAAUACUGCUCACAAUAGUAAUGGAUACACGAUUUCAGAUAGUCGCAUAUUAGAUUUGCAUCUGCGUGAAGUGAAACGUGAGUUCUAAUUGGCUUUCCUCAGGCAUGGUCCCAAAAAUACACAAUACAAUUGAAGCAUUACACCUAUAAAUAGGUUUCCAUGCUACAUAAUAUAUAUUAAUUACAGUGUAUGAAGUUGUACUGGAUGCGAAUGCUAUCGAUUCGUUAGAUGGUAUUACUACCCCUUCACAUACAGUUACAGUAACGUGCCAAGACACAGCGGGUGGAACAACAACUGCUAAUCUUACCGUUGAUGUUACACCAAACUUGGCGCCAACUGUAGAUAAACUUCCUGAUCACUUUGAAGUUAGUGAGAACCAAAUUGAGGAAUUAAAAAUCUGGGAUCUGGCCUAUACCGAUCCAGAUCCAGAUCCAAAAGGCGAUACACCUGUUACAUGUGUAAUUGUUACUGAUCCAGCAAGUGGACCUUUUGAUUUGCGCAAAUCAGGAACGACAAAUGGUAAGAAUGAUUAUCUGGGAAUCAUGUUAAAAAAUGUAUAGUAGCAACUCAUUUAUUUUAAGGCUCAUUUAGCCUAUUUUAAAAUCUCUAUCAACGCUUGAAUGCAUGCUCAUUCUAAUUCUAAUUACGCCGCAUUUUUGUGCCUGUACCAAGUCAGGAGCCUCUGGCCUUUGUUAGUCUUGUAUUAUUUUAACCUUUACUUUCUUAUCUACAAAUUGGAGUUUAGUAUGGCGUUCAUUAUCACUGAACUAGUAUAUAUAUUUGUUUAGGGCCAGGUGAAGGACGCCUAUGGAUGCGAGAAUUUCUCGCUGCAUUGAAGACCUGUUGGUGACCUUCUGCUGUUGUCUGUUCUAUGGUCGGGUUGUUGUCUCUUUGACAAAUUCCCCAUUUCCAUUCUCAAUUUUAUCAUUCUUAUGUAUGAAUGUAAGAAGAUUGAUUUCUUAAAUGAUAGAAUUUUCAUGCAUGAACAUCCUUUCAUCCUGGAAUUUCUAUUCGUUUUUUUGCGCUGUGACAUUGCCGAUAUGUUAUCGAGAUAUAUCAUUAUUCGGAUUACGUUUUAUUGAAAAGCUGUCGGCAAAUAAGACGACGAGAAGACUACAAUUUUAGCAGUACUUUCGAUGAUUUGGAUAAAAUAAAAAAAGAAAUGAGUAACUUUUAAAAGAACGUCUAUGUACAUGUGUUUAAACUAAAAACUCUAGCCAUUCCGGUAUUUGAAACAUAUUCAACUUUGUUUUUAAGUUAUCGUAACAUAAUAAGACUUUAUGCAUAAUUGGAUAUCGACUAUUUAUAAUAGAAUCGGUAGAUGUAGCUUACAAAACUCAUAAUAAUGUAUCUCUUAUUUCAAUCUAUCAUCAUUUAGAUUUUUGUAAUAAUGAAAUAUAGCGUUGAAAAAUAUAGCUAAUAUUCAUUCAUACCUCAGAAUCAGUCUCUAAAUCUAUAAUAUUUACAAAAGCUCAUCAUACUUUAUUACUUAUUCCUAUCUAUCACCAUUUAUAUUUUAUUAUCAUUACAAUACUAUGCAUGUUAUUAUGAAAUAAAGAGUUCGUUUAGAUUAUAUAGAUUGUUAACAUUAUCGCAUUAAUUUUCAUUUAGCGUUGAAAGUUCAUUUUGUUUAGAUUACAGUUUAUGGGUAACGGCUAAUCCUAAAUUCAACUAUACUGGUGUGCCAACACACACAGUAACCUUCACUUGUACUGACCAUAAUAGUGGGAGAACAGGGAGGAAUUCUAGUGGCAUUUUAUAUGUUGAUAUUCUAGAGAACAGACCACCCGUAUUCACCUCUGCUAGUACGUACAUUUAUGUAGUUAAGAUUUCAAGUGCUACAUAUCUUUAUAGAUAUUAUAGGAGACUUUUGGGAUCUUAUUUUCUAAUUAUUUUGUUGAAAGAUCUAGGUUUAGUAUUUUUUCAGUUCCAUCACUCAAAAAUAUUAACAAACCUAUUAUCAGAUGAUUGUGAAAUAUAUGUGAUAAAACCCAGCGUAUAUCAAUUCGAAUAUCUCCAUAUAUUUAUGAUGAGCUCGAGUAGGGGUGAGGUAUACGCCAAUGACACAUCGACUCAACGAUAUAUAAAUACCAAAAAGACACAGUAGGGGUCAACAUACAGAUUUAAAAAUAACCAAUUAUUCAGGUUAAAGUUUCUGUAGUAAAGAGGAAUCUGUGAAAUAACAGAUGGUUUGUAUCAUGUUAUUCUUAUUUCAACUACGAUUGUGUACCAACAUACUAUUUUAGCGAUUAAAGGAUUGCUUGAUAGAUUGAUUAUUCAUUAGCAUUUAAUAUUUAAUUAACCUUUUAAUCUGUCUGUCUGUUACCAUAUAUUGCAGACUCUCAUACUCAAAAUGCACAGUCAACUCCUGUCAAUACUAAAAUAUUUACUUGUGUUACUACCGAUGCUGAUAAAGAUGAUGCUGAUAAAGAUAAAGUUAGAUACAAUAUGGCCGUUAGAUACAGUAUGACAAUAAACCCUUCAACAAGUAGUUUUACUAUGGAUCCAGGUAAGGUUUUGUUAGAACUAUAUAUGAACACAGAUCAAAGUAUAUAAUAUUGAAUGUGUCCAGUUAAACUACGAAUUUCACAACUUAUUUGACAGUAUAAAUUGUUUAUGUGUGCAUUAUGGUAAAUAACUAAAAAAAAGAUUGCAACAGACUUUUCACACGCUUUAAUAACUUUCUAUCAAAUUGUUUUGGUCACCUAAUUAUGUAUAGGCAAUAUAUAGUUGGUGCGUAGGGAAAAUUGAAAACUUGUUUAACAUCAUUUUAUGCGCCGCACUACACUGUACUACACGUUAAAUCUUAUACUAGUAUAUAGAAGUCGCAUAGAUUUCAUCAAAGUAAUAUGAUUAAAACAAAAACAAUUUUAUAAUGCGAAAAUAAUUUUAAGGACAUUCAAUUUAUAUACCCUGCAUGUGGGUUUGAUCUGUACAGUAAUGAUAAUUAUUACAAAACGCUUUAACCUAUUUAUGAUAUUCGCAUCCUCGUUGUAAAAAUAAGAAAACAUAUGAAGUUAAUUUUCUUGUAUAGAAGGGUUUCAAGACAAGAACAACUGUCCUAAACGUACAAGUAAAAGUGUUUUAUGCAAUCAAUAUAGCUAUUUAAUGUGAAUCCCGCCAGUAUACAAGAGUUUAAACCAGUCCAAUUAUAAUUGUCGAAUGAUACACUUGUUAAAAACUGGCAUGGUGAUGAUGAUUAAAAAAAAUAUGUCUAUCAGCUGAUUGAGAAAAAAUCUUUCAGCGAUUCAAAAGACGUGUAACAUUCAACUUUUUUUUUAAAAUAACGUACAUUUUGUUCUGUAUCCCUUUUUUAAUUUGUUAAUGACAUUAUGCAGUUUAAUUUAUGAAGGUGAAUUUUAAUGUUUUUGUUACAAUUUUAGUAACAUGUGAUAUCUGGACCACACAGGAUCUAAAGAAAGAACUGAACAGUUUUUACACUGUGACAAUAACGGCUGAUGACGGCAAAAUUACGACUAUUCAAGACUUUGGAUUAACCCUUACAAGUAUGAUUAAUAUACAUGCCUUUACGAAUUGUCGCUGUCAAGACUAACCAGAACGUUGUAUUUUCAAGGUUCCAUCACAUUUUUUUAUAACACAUUUCUUUACUGAUUCGCAACAUCAAUAUCUUUUAGGUAUGAACGGAUACAGAAAGCAAACAGUUCAGAAUAGCUGAAAAAUGGAUAAUGUAAUAUUUUGGUUAGCUUCAACCAGCCCUGACAGUAAAUUAAUCUCAUUGUUUUUAAACGUGUGACCUCUGAUAGUAUUUAACGUUAAUACUUGACCAGAUCCUGUAUACAUUGACUGCCUCUCAUUUUGAACAAUACUAUAUGCAGAAUUAUUUAUUGAGCGUUCGUUUCUAUAAUAGCUGUCUACAAGUGUGAUUCAACUUGGUGAAACUGUUGAGAGCAUGUACACGUUGUAAAAUGAAUAUAUUAUAUAAGGUUUAAAGGGAAAACAUGAACAGUUUUAUUAUCUUUAGAAAAACUUGAAACGAAAAAGAGUUCUGAAAAUUUAAAUUAACCUACAUUAAUCAACGGUGUCAUUUUUUGAAGAAAAAAUAUAGUUUUGAAUUAAUUUUUAUUUUAUAUUUUAGCUUUCAAUGAAAUUGAACGGCAAUAAAACUAUUCUUACAUGUCACUCCACGUACAUCUUUUCAUCAACACAUCUGUUUAAUGAGAACCUUUAUAUUUUAAAGUUCUUGACGUCUGAAAGCGUUUCUAUUAAAAUGCUAUUAAACCUUAUAUUAAGACCUCUGCUGAAUAAAUACAAAUAAAAACGUUAAGAUAAUGAUCGAGAUCAUAUCAAGUAAAUAGUUUUAAUCAUGGUCUCAAGAAUGUAUAGUAAUUCUGGAAGAAUAGUAAGGAUCUGGACCGUUUAAAGUAAUUUGAAUCUUUAUUCAGACUGUUUUUGACGACUUCUCCAUAAUUAAACAAGUUUAAUUUUGUUUAGUAUAAAUACCUACGCGAUGUUGGACAUUGUGUAAUAUGUAAAACAUUGAUAAAAGAUCAAGAAAGCUUUUCACUUUCUUAUGAUUGACUGAAAUAAAUGUUUAAAUGGAAAAUAAUUGUCUGUCUUUAAAUAAAAUCGUUCAUAAUAGAUUCAUGUAUAUUCAAUUGUGCUGAUAGUGUACAAAAUGUGUCAAUUUUGAUUGUUAUUUUUCACUUGUACAUGAUUUGACAGAAGUACAUAUAUUAUAAGCAUACCUUUAUAACUGUUUGACUAAACGUUAUAAUAAUUAUUCGAUAGCUUGAGUUUGAGGACGGAAAAUGAUGGCUGUGCAAAACUAGGCUGUGUUGCCAUAGCAAUAUCCUGUCCUUGUCAUGAAAGAAAUAAAAACAUUAGAUCUGUAAAAUAAGUUUGUAAGGAUGACUUAAAAAAGCAUUGAAUACUACUUCCAAAAAUAUUGUUUCCUCUUUUUUUGGACUUGUGCUAACCUUAUGUUGAAGUAUAUAUGAAGACAAAAUUCAGAGUAAAGUUUUUUGAUAGACCAAAAAACAAUUCUUCCCUGAGUUAUUGUUUUCACUGGCAUAGUGUUUUGUAUUUCUCUAUAGAAUUUGUUAAUGAUUAUGGUAAUAAAUAAAUCAAAAAUGUUAUACUUGUCUGACCAUAAUUUAUAAUUUAAAUCAAAAGGAAAAUGAAGAAAUUAGGUACCAAUCGAAAAGCUCAAUAAAACCAAACAUCGCCGUGGUCAACAAUAAUCAUGACGAAAGAAAAAAAUAGAAUAAUUUACAUUACAUAAAUUACACACCCAAACCACCUCACUUUUAAAUGAAGUAAAGUUUUCAGGAAUUGUUUAACCUAAAUACCUGAUGUGACAUUUUAUCUCUUACAACAGAUGUCAAUACUGCACCAGAGAUUACAAAUAUAGGAUUAAAUCAAGCGGUAAAGGUUUAUUUUGAUGAAACAACAGCCACCAAUACAUUGUUGUAUUCACCGGUGGUCUACGAUCCGGAUACAGGACAAACACAGACAAUAACUUACACCGUGUUCCCUACUGGAGAAGUAGGCACAUUUGAUGUUUCUACAAGUAUGUUUUAUUACGUUUUAGUACUGCGAUUUUUUCUCAUACUGAACUUGUAAUUCGUGUUGUUUUCAUAAUUUUUGUAAGCAACGCCAAUACAUCAAGCGACGUUGUUCUUAAUUCAAAACUAUAUUGAAAGAGCCACGCUAAAAAAGGGAUGAAUAAAAUAAUCUAGUAACUGAAGACAUUGAUCUUUAUUGUGUAUUCAAAAAUGAAUUCAAGUUUCUCGCUAUCAAUAAGAAUCAUUUGAAAACUAAGUCGACGAGAGUAAAACAUUAAUUGAAGUCGAACGUAUUUAAUUUCAAUACAGUUUAUUAAUGAUUUUGGAUCUUCAGUGUAAAUGAACAAGAUGAGAUAAUCUACUUUUUAUUAGACAUUUUGUUUCGAUGUAGAAAGUUUCUUUAUAAUUACUAAAUUUUACGUUUUAUAACAAUCUCACAGUGUAGAUACUAUUCUGUACGCUAUCCGGAAGUCGCGAUUUUCGAAGCGAUGAUUUCCAACUGGCUAACAGGACGGUUUUGCCUACGUUAACUUUUCUCAUCAUUUGUUUACUCCUAUAUCUACAAAGUGCUUUGAACAUCUUCAAUGUAUAUAUAGCAUCAUAAAUAUGAGUAACUGUAACAAAAACAUGUAUUGGAAUAUAAAAUAUACGUGUGCAUCACAUCAACUUGAUAGAAAAAAGUGAAAUCGAUGGACAAAUUUGCUCUCGUAGUACAAAGCAAAUAAUUUUUUAUUGCAAAUAUUUGCAUCAGUUUACAGUUAAAUAUAUACUCUUUCAAUAUUCUUUUCGUAUUUAAGUAGAAUAUUCGUAUUUCCCAUAAAAAAUAUGUUUUCCUUGAGGACCCCAAAAUAAAUUACUGUACGAUCAGUCUAGAACUGACUGUAUUCUAGAAGCGAUUUCAGAUUUUUUGACUGUAUGACCAGUCGUGAUUUUGAAGAAAAAACAAAAGCAAUUUGAAGGUAUAUACGUCUAUAUGUGAUAUUAUGAACUAUCCAGUGAACUAUAACGUGUAAUUACUUUCAUCAGACAAUACAAAUAUAUUUCUGAUGCAUUUUUUAGACGGCAAAAUAAUUGUAUUUUUGUUCCAUCAGUCUUAUUUAAAAUCAAAUGCCUAAAAAGUAAUACAUGAUUCGCUUGUGGACUUUGUAAUAGUGUAUCGUUACAGUUAUCUGUUUAGCUAUUACAUUUUUAAAGUUUAUUUACACCGUCCGCCGUUGACCAGUUUCUCAUGUUGAUUUUGGACAUCUGUUGCCAGGGUUCAAGUCAGCACCCCAUUAUUUCAAAAUUUUAUUUCAUUUUAGUUUUUAUUUGAAUUUUGAAUUUUAUUUAUCUAUUUUAUUUGCAUCUAAUUUACGGUUGCCCAAAGACCCUUUGUUUGUGGUUGGUAACCGACAGAAGCCAUGAUCUUACUUCGCCAAUAAAAUAUAUUUUGAUUUUAAUAACGUCUUCUCUCUGAUAACAUAAAUCAAGCUUGUCCCUUUUAAAAUAACAAAAAAUGGAUAAAGACAGCUUUGCGUAGGGGGAUAAUUCAUGUGAUAUAAUUUUGGUAAGUUUACAGAAAUAGAAGGUCCAUAAAGCAUUAAUCGAGUAAAAAUGGAGCAAUUUCAGAAAACUUUAAUGAUUGGUUUAGGAGGUGAUGGGAAUACCUGAUGGGUGCCCCCACAUAAUGCAAUGUUCAAGUCCGUAUCUUAUAUAAAGUAACCCCAUAAAAGAUUUUUAUUAAAAUUCGAAGUAGACGGUGCACAAUACAGUCAUUAUCAUUUAUGAUAAGGAAACCGAAUAAGAUUAAUUAAUAGUUAUAUCAGUGACGGAUUCAAAAAAAGGUGAUCCGGCAGUUUGAAACCCUUUUUUAACUAUCAAUGCAUUUGUAUGGGUACAUUUAUUUGGAAUCCCCUUUUCUCCUAGAUUGGACCCCCUCUCCAUUUAAAAAUGGCCGGAACCCCCAAUGUAUAUUAAGUGGUUUAUGAGGAGAUGCGCUUACAGAACCGGCGAAACAUAUUGUACUGGUCCAACGGACGAACGGAAAGACGGACUUCUUUAUCACUAUAACCCCCCGCUUGACAAAGAGGUGUACAAUUGAGUGUCAAAGAGACAGCUGUACAUCUUAAACCAAGCGCAGGAACUGUGAUCAAUUAAAGGCUAAAGUACGGCCUCGAAUGUGUGUAAAUACAUGCAUUUUUAUAUAACAGCUAAAUUUGUGUGUUUGUACAAUUUUCAGUAUAACGGAGGACAUUUCUGAAACUCAUAUACUAGUAUACAUCAAACCUUCCUCUGAUUUUAGCAACAUUUAAACAUCCUUAUACUUAAUGUAGUAAGUCGAGUACACCCCAUCAAGCUAAAACAUCUAUAAUACUAAAAUUACGAGGUCCAAUUUGUCAGCCGUCAUCACGUAAAAACGAUGAAUCAAAGAAUUCAACUUUAUACCUAGCUAAUAUAGGACAGUGGUGUAGAUUAAAAAUUACACCACUCCAGAUCCUUUUGUUUUCCACAUAAUUAAUAUUGCCAAUAAUUAACAAGUUCCGGGUCGAAUCCGAUACCAAUACCAAUAGUAUAUUCACCUGUUACCUAUUACCUUAUCUGUACGUUCCGCUAUUGACAGGCACACCACCAAACAGUGUAUUUAUGAUUUUGCUAUAUACACGGGUCAUAAUCACAGGGUUGACACUACUAAAUUCAGUCAUUGUCAAAAUAUUCCCUAUUGUAGUAUUUUAAUCAGUAAGACUUUCUAAGAUAACAAUACGAAUGACCUGUUGUUUUCCAAAUAAUUAAUAUUACCUACCAAUCAUUCAAAAUUUCCAGUUCGACGGGUUCAAACAGAAAGACUUGAAAACAGAGAAAACUGUGUAUCUUAUAAUCGGCAUGACUUUAUCAGAUGACAAUACCAAUACUAAAAUAAGGCUUAAUUCAGUCACGGACCCGCGAUAUCACGGGUGUGUUCUAGUGUUUCAUAAGUUUUCAGGAUGUGAAUGUAUUGAAAUAUAUUUGUGUUUUUUUAGAAAAAUGCCACCUUCUAAUGUAUCGUAAAUAACUUUGAAAUCAUCACUAGAAUACAGUGACAUAAAGACUGAUCAUACAGUUUCAAAAUAUACAAGCGAGACUGAUCGUACAGUGAGAAAUUCAAACAAGUGUAAUUUUCUUAUUUCUGGCUUCAAAGAUCUGGUUGAAACUUUUACCACCACUUGAAAUAUAUUUCAUUUAGUUAAUUAAGUCAGGUUUUUACGUUAAUUUGUACACUAAGAGGGUAAAAAGAUUGUUUUUAGGUUCGACGACUGAUUUUUCUUAGUGAUGCACUUGAAAAUCUCUUGAUUAAGGUAAAGAUACGAAUAAUGAAUGUGCGGAAUUUAAUUCUAAACCAUUUGAGAAUAUCGAUGUCGGCUGAAUUAAUCAUUAAGCAAUGUACAGAUGAUCAACUUACCGUUUAAUUCAGUAUACCCAUCAAAUUUAAAAUGUGAUCCAAAAAGUUCUCGCUUCGAAAAUCGCGACCUCCGGAUAGCGUACAGAAUAGUAUCUACACUGUGAAUCUGCUCUUCAGAUCCUCAAUUCAUUUUGUUGCAACGCUUCUCUUGUACGUAUUAUUGCUAAAACCUAAAAAUGUUCUUGUACUUUUUAUAAUUUUAGUCAAUCUUCUUUAAGUAGACACCGUAUCUGUAUCUUAAUUAUCUUAUUUACCGUAAUAAAACAUGUGGAACUGAUCUAAUGUUUUAUGUGCUGAAAUUUGAUUGCUAUAUAUCUUUUUAGGUGAGAUAAGAUUAAAAAAUGGAAAAACAUUUGAUUAUGAAUAUAUAAAUUUGUACAAACUGACCAUGUAUGUCACUGACAGCUACGCAACAACUGGUCCAUACUAUCUGGAUGUACACAUUAACAAUAUACCAGAAGUAUGUGGAUUUGACAAAACAGUGUAUGAAGCUAGUACUUAUGAGGCAGGGGUAGGUUUUUAUAUCUUUAUCAUUUUAAUUAAUUGAAUUACUGAUGAUAAUGAUUUAGUCGUCAAGUAGUUACUACAAAACACCAAAAACACAGAAAGUAUCUAAAAUGUUUUCGUAUUUUCAGGACAAAUAUUCUCUUUGAAAAUUUGGGUUCCCACUGGCUUUUUAAUUUCCUACUUUAUUCAGCAUUUAAACUAUUUUAUAUUUGAGCGUCGCUGAAAAAUCUAUAAUAGUCUUAACGAACGUUAUGCCUACAAAAUCGUGAAAUUAUUAAAAGAUUUAGGAAUAUGACAGUUGUCAUCUAAUAGCUCGUUUCUAUGUAUUUUGCAUUGACGUAUGUUUUUUGUUGCACUUGUUCUGUUGUUUCAUUGUUUUCCACUUAUAAUUUUCCCUGUUUUAGUUUACAACCCGGAUUUGUUUUCUCUAUCGAUUUAUGACUUUUGAACAGCGGUAUACUACUGUUGCCUUUAUUUACGACAAUCGUUUAUUACCCAUGAUUUUAGGAUGAUUUUGUAUGUUUUAGGUAAGUGGAGGAAGAAUGAACAUUGGUUUCACUUUAUCUGAUGAAGAUGAUCCCGAUUACCAUACAUUUUCUUUAGUCACAAAUCCACAUAGCCAGUAUUAUAAAAUUGAUCAAUAUACUGGCGAAAUAUCCUUCAAAACAGACUAUGACAUUGAUACCUGUGGAUUUGUACACCCAACAAAUGCAACUAUCAUUGUACAAUGCACAGAUCAAUACGGCGAAACUGGUAAGUUGAAUCAUGCCAUUUUAUCCUCCAUGCUAAGUUUACAAAAUAUAAAAAAUGGUUUUGCUACAUCGUUGUCAAAAUGAUGCAAUUUUUUACGACUGUCAUACAUGUGAGAAGUUUAGCUAUCAAUAAAAUCAGAUUUAAUUCACCUUUUUCUACAUAAAAAAAAAGCCUGUAUCAAACCAGGAAUAUGACAGUUUUAUCCAUUCAUUUGAUGUGUUUGAGUUCGUUAUUUUUGUUAUUUUACUUUUGAUAAAAGUUUAGUAAGUUAGGUAUUAGUCAAUUUCUUUGAUCGUUAAAACAUUGCGAGGAUAGAACAUGAAUGAAAAAUAUUAAAACUAAUUGUGUCCAUAAAAGCUUUUACAAGCAAAUCCUUUCAUGAUAAGAGUGAAUUGAUUGGUGAUAUGUUUGAGCAGAACAUGCGUCCAUUAACAAAUUAAAUGUUUAUUUCAGGAAGCAUUUAUGCAACUACAAAAUGAACCUUGCAUAAGAAACAUCCAUACUGCAAAAAUAAAAGGACCUAACUAUAAAACAACAAAAUAUAUGUGAUGUGAUAUAAUAGACGUGUACGCCUAUAUGUAGCUUGCUAUUUUUGUUCUAUUAGUGUUGUAUUGUCCUUGCUUUGUUUUGUACUCAUAAAGAUUCCUGAUAUGUCUGUUAUCUCUAAAUUGACAACAAAUGUAUUCCUUACAGGGACUGCCACUGUAUCAGUAUAUGUCCAAGAUGUCAACGAUAAUAAACCAAUAUGUAACAAUACCGGUAAUGUUAUGAUAGUAACGCAGUACACAAACCCAGGCGCCUUCAUAGGAAGUAUUGCAGCAUCGGACUGUGACACUGGUGUCAAUGCAAUUUUGGAAUAUAGCGGAGCAUCUGUCACUGGAAGUCCAUACUAUACCGUGACUGCUAAUGGCAACGUUUACUUGACAAAUACAAUUGACUUUGAUUAUGGGACAGAUCAUACUUUCUUGAUCAAAGUAAAAGAUAAUGGCAUUCCUCAAUUAACUGGGACAUGUCAAUUGACAGUUAUAUAUAUAUGGACAACAACAACUACAACUACAACUGUUGCCCCUAAUAUUCCCACCGACUGGUGGGAUAAACCAGAGAACAUAGCACUGGUGGCCAUUUUGUCUCUUUUGGCAUUGUUUCUUCUGGGUCUGUUGCUUUAUUUGUGUUGUCGCCGUGGAUUACCUUGCAGAUCUUGUAAAAACCCAUUCAAACCAUGCAAGUAAGUACAUGUAAAAACUUUAACAAUAUAAGACCUAAUGCUCAAGAACAGAAUAUAUUUGACAUGUGUUUUUAAAUAGGUAUACCGGCAAACUUUCAGACUUCUUAAAACAAUCAAUAUGUAUCCAGAUGGUAUAAUAUCAAUUGACAUAUCAAUUAAAAUUAUUGUAAAGAUAUCUUGUCUCUUAAUAUGACUUAGGUUAAUGUAUGCAUUCUUUACUUUCCAUAGAAAAUGCUGUAAGCCAAGACAGCCAACAAGAAGAAUUGUAACGUGAGUAACCUUAUCGAAUACAUGAAGCUUAGUGUCGAGUGAAAUAAUAAAUAUUAACAAGUCUAGCAUUUUGAUGAUAUUAUUUUUCAAAAUGAUUUUUUUCCAAAUAAAACAAAAAUAGUUAGAUAUAUUUUGUAUGCUUGUUAUUUUCUCCAAGAAAAAAUAAAUUGCUUGGAAAAAGAAGCUUUUCAUAGCAAUGAGAAAAUGUGGUACGUUUGCCAAUGAUGCAACUCUCCAUGAAAGACCAGAUGACAUAUAGCAGUUAAGGAAGUACUUAAGUCAGGUUUAGACAUUUUUGUCAUGUUUUUGGACUAUGAGAAAUUGACCCAUAACACUCAUUUUUCUUUUCAUAUAAGAUUUCAAUACGUCAUAAAAGGUCAUUUACCUAAAUUUUAGCAUAUACUAUGUUUCUUUUCUUUUGAUUAGAGACCCAAAUAAAACAAAUGCAAAUAUAAGGUAAAGAUCCAGGUUGACUUUUAUCUGUCAUUUGAAAGAAAUGAAAUAGCAUGAAAAGGAGCUCCAUAUUUUUAGCUUAUCUUCUAUAACCUCAGUACAUCCAUACUAACUAUGCAUUGAAACAUUUUUGUAAAUAACAUUUCAGUCCUAAAGAUCCUAAGAAAGAUCCAUUCAAGUUCUUUGAUCAUAGUAAGUACUCGGAACAAAAUAUUAUAUGAAUACAAGUUUCAGUAAACAAAAUAGUCUUGGUAGAUUUAUUUGUUAUUAUCAAAUGCUUUACUGUAUUUUUCGAUCCCAAUUUUCAUAUAUUUUUACGAGUAAAUACUGAAGUAGUAGUUAAACACUACACUACUGCAUUACUAUAUAUUUUCUGUAGUAAUUUAGAAUCUUCAAGAUCAAAAGAGAAAACUAUUCAUGAAUGACAGUUAACAUUUAAAAGAAUAGCACAAUAGUUUUUGUGAAUUGAAAGAUGAAAUAGUUACAUAAUUAUCCAUUUGAGAGAAUAAUUUACUCUUUUUUUUUCUCUUUUUAAAAAAAAAAGGUUACUAAAAGAUGUAAUCAUUUCAGAUGACCUUAAUGUCAAAAGAGAUAUGUUUUCAACCAGGGAUCAAGUUACAGAUGCACCAAUACCGAUGAAGAUGUAAUUUGUACCAAACAGAUAUUGAACUGUGACACAAAUAUGAAAUUAAAAGGAUUACAAUAUGAAGACAUUUUAUUUGUAUAAAACAGAACGUAUAAUAACCAAAUAUGGAAAAAUAGAAUUGAUUUAAGGUGCAGUAUGACACAUGUUAACCAGAACUUAACUAUCUGACUAAAAUUGAAUUGAACUUCACAAACAAAAGGGGAAACGAGACAGGCCAACAUUUCUUCUGUAGUAAGGUCAGUUUAAAUUCUCUCAUUAAAAUUGUUUCCGAAAAUAUGUUUUCAAUGUUUUAAUAUUGCAUUUUAACUGUAGCGCUUUAAUACUUAAUCAUCACUUUUUGUAUUUCAAAGAAUGAUCCUUUACUUUUAGGCCUACAUAACAGAGCACUUCAAUGCAGUUAACAUUCCUUAUUUCAUAUUUGGUUAGCGAAUAGUAGUGAAUAAAACGUAAUGAUAUAGGACUAUAUUUGUAUAGUUAGAAUAUUACACUAGUAUAUUUGUUCACCUUUAUUCUAAAAGUGGAUAACUAAAUGUUGAAUAAACUAUUGUAUUUGUCAUUUAAAAAGUACUGCGACGCUAUAACGAUAUUGUUAUUAAUUUAUGAAUGUAUAUACUGU